CGAUGAGUACAGUGGCGACCGGGUGAGUAACACGUGACUACCUACCCUUGAGUGGGGGAUAACCUCGGGAAACCGAGGCUAAUACCGCAUAAUAUCGAGAGAUCAAAGGAGAAAUCCGCUUUUGGAGGGGGUCGCGGCUGAUUAGCUAGUUGGUGAGGUAAUGGCCCACCAAGGCGAAGAUCGGUAUCCGGCCUGAGAGGGCGCACGGACACACUGGAACUGAAACACGGUCCAG
rnacentral:rRNA from 1 species